rnacentral:rRNA from 1 species
UACGUAGGGCGCAAGCGUUGUCCGGAAUUAUUGGGCGUAAAGAGCUCGUAGGCGGUUGUCGCGUCUGCUGUGAAAACCUAAGGCUCCACUGGACUUGCAGUGGGUACGGGCAGACUAGAGUGCGGUAGGGGUGACUGGAAUUCCUGGUGUAGCGGUGGAAUGCGCAGAUAUCAGGAGGAACACCGAUGGCGAAGGCAGGUCACUGGGCCGCAACUGACGCUGAGGAGCGAAAGCAUGGGGAGCGAACAGG